rnacentral:rRNA from 1 species
CCUACGGGAGGCAGCAGUGAGGAAUAUUGGUCAAUGGGCGGAAGCCUGACCCAGCCAAGCCGCGUGAGGGAAGAAGGUACAGCGUAUCGUAAACCUCUUUUGUCAGGGAACAAAGGCGGGGACUAGUCCCCGGAUGAGUGUACCUGAAGAAAAAGCAUCGGCUAACUCCGUGCCAGCAGCCGCGGUAAUACGGAGGAUGCGAGCGUUAUCCGGAUUUAUUGGGGUUAAAGGGUGCGCAGGCGGACUGUUAAGUCAGCGGUAAAAGCCCGGGGCUAAACCCCGGCGAGCCGUUGAAACUGGCGGGCUUGAGUUGGAGAGAGGUACGCGGAAUGCGUGGUGUAGCGGUGAAAUGCGUAGAUAUCGCGCAGAACACCGAUUGCGAAGGCAGCGUACCGGCUCCACACUGACGCUGAGGCACGAAAGCGUGGGCAUCGAACAGGAUUAGAUACCCUGGUAGUC